ACAGGUGAGCCUCCUAAUUGCCAACCAAGAGCAGGUGAGGAGUACAACCCUCCAAAGCAGUUGUGAAGUCACAGGAUGAGAAACCAAAAACAGGAAGAGGACCCAAAAUAAGAACAUUGGACAAGAGGAAACACUCAAACAUAAAAAAUAACAAUCCACAAAAGUCCAAAACAGAGACAAUUGAUCAACUGGAGGCAAUUUCAAAUGGCAUAGAAUGUCUUUUGGUAGCAUCUUCAUCCUGUAUGAUGAUAUUUUCAAAGGCCAGAUGAAUUGUUGCAGGUUGUAGCAAUACAACUAAAGAAGUUCUAAAUGACGGGAAUGUGAAGAAAGUACAGACCUUUCCAGUCACAAUGGGACGGACCAAGUGAGAGGAGUACAGUUUCCAGCCAUUGUUUGAAUGAUUCCUACUUUGAACAAGGCUUUUAGGUGAGAGUUUGUAAAAGACUCAAGCCAAAUGUGAUCCUGGCAAAUCGGGGGAGAAAGACCAAGUUAGAACCUGCGGAGAAGAACAGCAGACCCGCCGAUCAAAAAUUAGAGAAAAAGAAGGAACAACAACGGAUGGUAGACGUGGUUAAAGGCAACAAGCAGGGGAAAUACCACGCUAUAAAUAUAUGCAGCACAUAGUCGGUGGUGAGUGGCAGUCCUGGAUUUGAGAUUCUCCGAAGUUGGUGCAGACAGCAAGAUUGGAAAUAGAAUGAACGGAAGGUACACGGACCUACACGGACCUGAGAUUAUCAGGUGUUUCGUCUUUUGUUUUUGUGUUUUCUGAAACCGUAAAUUGUUUGGUCUAUUAUUAAUUAGUUUUCUGAAAUUGUGAGUUGUUUCGGCUUUUGUUUUCCUGUUAUCUGAGAUGGUCAAGUGUUUCUUGUUUUGUUUUUAUGUUUUCUGAAAUUGUAAACUGCUUUGUCUUGUUGUUUUUGUGUUUUCUGAAAUUGUAAACUGCUUUGUCUUUUUGUUUUUUAAUCUGAAAGAGUGUUUUGUAAUGUAUUUUGUUUUCUGUCAUUGUAAUUUGUUUCCGGAAAUUUUUGUGUUUUGCACUUCUAGGCCACCACAAGUAAUGGCAAUACUGGCAAUAAUUUGCAGUAUUGCCCAUAGGCGCCAAUCUACAUUUCUGCCAGUGGAUGCUCUGUCCCGAUACCAAUAUUUUGGCACCAGU